CGGGGCGUAGCUCAGUCUGGUGGAGCGCUCGGUUUGGGACCGAGAGGCCGGGGGUUCGAAUCCCUCCGCCCCGA
rnacentral:tRNA from 1 species